UGUCUGAAUGAUUGAGACCUUGAUACAUGA
rnacentral:piRNA from 1 species